rnacentral:rRNA from 1 species
UACGGAGGGUGCAAGCGUUGUUCGGAAUUAUUGGGCGUAAAGCGCGUGUAGGCGGUUUGUUAAGUCUGGUGUGAAAGCCCUGGGCUCAACCUGGGAAGUGCAUUGGAUACUGGCAAACUUGAGUACGGGAGAGGAUAGUGGAAUUUCGAGUGUAGGGGUGAAAUCCGUAGAUAUUCGAAGGAACACCGGUGGCGAAGGCGGCUAUCUGGACCGAUACUGACGCUGAGACGCGAAAGCGUGGGGAGCGAACAGG